CAGCAUUUCCCAGAAGCUCCAGAGGGGAAACAAUCCCUUGGGAUCGAAAGGGCAGACGGUUUUCUUUCAACAGAAGGACUGACUGGAUGAGAAAAGAAUGGCGAAGGUGUUGAACUCGAAGAUCCUUCUUGUCAGAAACUGGAGGCACAGUAGGGGUGGGCCCACGGUCCCUGCCGAGCUGUGAGCCCCACAUCAGAUCGUUGAAGAACACAGGAGGACAGCAGCUUCAGAGCCCUGGACCACAAGACUGUCUUCAGGAUUGCCGGGGAGCACGGACAGCCUCGUUCAUCAAAAUACUGGAGUGGACAAGCCCAGCCCCGAGGAGCGGCUCCCAGCUCAGCCCGUGUAGUUCCUACGGGAGAUGGAGGCCUUGCUCAGCUUCUCUGCACCUGCGCAAUGAUUCACCCCGAGCCCGGCGCCAGGUUCCUCCCAGAGGCUGCGGGGAGACCCAUAAAAAAACUGUGGACAGAGAGAAGGAUUAAAUCCUAGUUAUCGAGCGGCCUAGUUCACCACAUCAGGGUGACAACAGCUAAGAGUAAUCAUUACGUUAUUUCUGUUCGGAAAUAAACAGAAGAAGAGGCUUCGGAUGCCCCCAAUCUGAGAAACAAUAAGUGUUUCAGAUGAUGAAUAUGCUAAUUUUUUGAUUAUUUGCAUGCCGAAUACAUGUGUCACACAAUACCCCCAAAUAUGUACAGUUACAAUGUUACUUAAAAAAAAAAACAAAAACCUUGUUAACAUCUGUCAAGUUGAUUUGUUCCUGUGAUGACAUUCUGCUGGAUGGGACUUGUGUUCAGAUUCCUGAAGGGCCUGAGAGAUUUCUAGACACAGAACAAAGGGGCUGGAGCUUGGGUAGACUACACUACUGUUGAUUUGUUUCAUCUGCCAAGGAACUACUAAUGUUGGCUACUUACACCUCAAAUUAUAUAGACGGUUCCUUAUCUGUGGACUCUUGGACUCCCCUUCACAUGAAAGAUUCCCUGUUUGUAACAGUGUUUGUGAGGCAUAGGAAGACUAGACCUGUCAUCCCUGGUUAAAUGAUUUGAACAUGAGGCAGAGUGCGUUGGUAAGUUACUUUUAAACACUUUCUAAACGAAAACUCUUCAGGACAGAGGUGAAAGAAGGCAUUGUUAUCUGUUUUUCAAGACAGGGUUUCUCUGGGUAGCCCUAGAUGUCCUGAAAUUGGCUUUCAGACCAGGCUGGCCUGGAACUCAGAGAUCAGCCUGCCUCUGCCUCCUUCGUGCUGGGAUUAAAGGCGUGCUGUCCCACUGCCUGGUAAAGAAAGCAUCAAACAAACAAACAACCAAUUCUGUUAUCUGUGAAAAUUAUUAUUUAAUCUGAUUUAAAAACUGCCAGACUUCUCUUGUAGAGGUUCCUGCCACCUCUGAUGUUCCUCAGCCAAUAUUUAUAAAGAUCACAGUGAUGUCACUAGUAGGUUUUUAAAAACAGACACCGUAAGGAACACAUUCCCACCCAAGUGAGGGGAUGAAGCAUGCCACAUCAGCAAGCGUUGUGAGAAGCCCUGGUGCUGGAGGGCUCUGCUUUAAGAUUUGGGCUGGGCCCCUUGGCAAUGGGCAAAGGGACACCUUAUUGGUGGCAUUGCUCUUAUAUCAAUCAGGGCAGAGCAGAA